GCCGAGACUAGAGUCACAUCCUGACAUGGUACUUGUCAUGGUGUGCUAGAGUUCUCGAAGAAUAACUGCUGACCUUAUUCACUGGCUGUGGACUUCUGGCACAGCCAGUCACCAGGUUAGUGACAUGC